UAUUGUCGAAGUCAUUAUGGGUAAAAUGGUUUUUCGCCAAUUUAGCAUCCUUGAAAGGAGUGAUAUGCUUCUAGUAUACUUUCUGGGGUUGUAAUAGGCAAAAUACUUUAAGUACUCCUAGACAAAUACAGAAAUAAAAACGUAGGGAUAUGGUCUGUUCAUUGAUAUAACAAAGUGACCAAUUGCUUUUGAAUGGGAUUUCCCAUUAACAUUAACAAGAUUAUUACUCAAAGUUUCGGAAUUUAAAUUCAGGGAAAAUUGUGUAUUAAGUAAUUUAAGUAGGUAAUAAAAAUAAUUUGUAAUUUUAUUUUAGAUUUAACAUUAAUAGAUACAUAAAUAAAUAAAUAUUGUUUAGUAUCUUUCCUAACAAAACCGCAAAUAAUUAAAUUCUAACCAAAGUACGGCCAUAUUUCAUUCUUACAGCUUGCCCGGGUCUUUCCUUAAUUCUUAUAUCUAUGAACAGACUUUACCCUUUUCGCCGAGAGACAUUUAAACUUCUAGUUCAGUGGUUGUGAUGUUUUGCAAUAUGGUGUGUUACCUAACUAACUAACUAACUAAAAUUAAUCAGUGGGUGACGACAUUCGUCCCGACUCGAAGUGCGAGUGUUGUAGAUUUAUUUAAUACAAUAAAGUGCACCGGAUAUUUAGAAAAAUUCGGCGAAUGGCAAAAAAUAAUUGUCACCGACCCAAGUCGGUAUUGCCAAAACUAUUUCAAGAUGAUAUGGCUAAAAGGCGUCGACAAGGACGCUCGCCAAAAAAAAAUCUCGUUACCAAUUUUCAACACUUCCUCGUUCCCGCAUCAAGGUUAAGGCAAAAAAAAAGAAUCCGCCUGAUUAAAUUUUUUCCCGGUCGUCGAUCACGCCCUGUUGGAUUCGAAACCCGAUUUGAAUGAAAGCUACGUGUACGCUUCGUGCAAAAAUUGAAGGCGGCAGCGGUCCCGUGCAUCAUCCUACCUCAAUCGACUUGGAAUCUAACGAAUCGAGAAACCGCUCCAAAUAAACCGAUCAUCAUAGUAUAACAAAGCAAGGAUAUCGCGGUGAGCCGAACGGAUUUGCAAACGGUCGACGGCGUUUACGUGUGAAUUUGUUGUUCCAUCAUCGACCCGACAACGCAACCUAAAGCGGCGGAGUACAACGUCCCGUUACGUAUUACCAGCGGCGUCCGAUUUUUAUUUUUAGCCCGUCCGUCUUUGGUUAAACAAAACCCGUUGCUAGAUUUCCGAACUGAAAACGUUACUUGUGCCUUGUGUUACUUAUCGGUGAUAUCGGCGGUCCUUGCGUUCUUGUUCGGCGCUUUUAGGUUAGUUUCGCGAACCGUACAUUACUGGACCAUAGAAUUAUUUUUAAAGUGGGCUUGCCUACUCAGGACACUCGCCCAUUGUCGAAGUUUUAGGACCUUUCGGACACACAUUGUACCAAUGUACUUUGAACCUAUGAAAAAAAACAGACCCGUCCAACGUUCAGAUUGAGCACACUUAUACUUUCAAAACGUUUACAAAACUUAAAAAAAAGCCAAAUCUAGUUAAUAUAAAGCGAUAUCAAUACGUUUCAACAUAGAAUUAACUAAUGCUGUAUACUAGACACCGUGAAAUAGCUGACGCAAUAAAACGUAUCCACGUAGUCAUCGGGCGAAUCUACCAGGGCCAUUUGACCGACUUACUGUUAUUAUUUGUACUCAAUGCGCCCAUCUUCUGUGUUCGACAUUAAAAAUGAGUAUUUCCGUCUUUAUUAUCGAUUUACACCGAAUCUCUCAAAGACUGAAAGUUGGGUUUUUAUUUCGUUAAUUUACUUAUGUCUUUCAAGAAGAACAUCUGUUUUAUUUACUAUUAUUUUGUUUCAUAAUGUGCGGUUUUAUGCGCAUCUGUUUAGUUUGUGCCAUGCCAAUCGAAAAUGAUCCAAAAGAUGCAAUGACGGGUAAAUUGAAAGCGAAGUUAUUGUGUGGUUAAAGGAAAUGUCCAAAGUGUUUAAAAAAUUCUUCUCUAAUAUUUCCUUUUUAGCUUUUUUGAAUUUGAAAUAAAGAGAGAUACACUAGGAAGUUUUGUAUUUUGCAUAAUUUUAAGAUUACUGUCUUCGUUCAAAUUUCUAGCCGCGUUUCCUCGGAAUAUUAGUUUAUUCUGUAGAUCACGGUCGCGCUAGUGGAUAUCCGCUGCGGAAUUUAUUCCUCUUUUUCUUUGUUUUUUCUCUCGCCGCCGCUGACGUCGAACCGGACGAGCCAUCUUCGCAGCCAACCGAGAUAAUCGCGUAAACGCGCCGUUUGCCCGAGGAUCUGUCCGUGGCAACUCGAAUCGUCGUGAAGCGUCGGUUCGGCGGCGCGGGGCGGGGCAGGAGGACGAGAAUUGGUUGUGCGCGGUUCGCGGGGAAGCGGCGUUCGUGUCCUCGGAAGGUCGAACGCGUCGGGUCUCAUUAUAAAUGCUAAUCGGUACCCCUUUUCCCCGACCCCCAUACGCUUUCCGUCGAGCGGUGAGGUGCGGCCGACGUUGCCAACCCAAAUUUUUGACAUUACCGCAUAACUUGUUGGAAACUGCACGGUGCGGGUUCGGCAAUUUCGCACCGGUCCCGCACGUAAUUGGAGUUGAACCGUCUUGUCCGUUUCUUUAUUCCCUGAAUAUGAUAAACAGAUGGAAUAUUCAAUUUUCGGAUCCAAGCACACUGGUGUUGAACGCGGAGUUGUCGCUUCUUUGAAGCUAGUAACUUAACCUAUAACAAACUCUUAAAAGUAAAUCUUAGACCACGUCAUUUCGUUUUGUUCUAGCUUCUGCUAACCAAUUCUAUGUAAACUGUGGCAAACAACAAACUGUGUUAUAGCCUAAAAUCGAAUUAUAUUCUCUGGUGUGCGGUAGCGAUUGCGAUUGGGAACGUGUCAAAUAUGUAGAGGUUAUGGUUUCGUAUUUUUGUUUUGGGUGUUGUUGAUAUUGAGAUUUAGAUUUUUUCGAAGGUAUAUCUUAUUCAGUGUUUGUGUGUAGUGCUGCUGAUUUAACAAAUGUUAAUAAAGUAGAGACAUCUUUGUACUCUAGUACCUACCAGAAUCGGAAUGGUAGAAUCGGACGCUGUGGACAUAUUAAUAAUUUGGUCAAACGACUUUGGAAUCAGCGGAACCAGUUGGAAUAUUUGAGGAUAAUGAAGGUGGAUUUACCACAACAUCUAGCACGUUUCGGACAUCUUUGUACUCUAGUACCUACCAGAAUCGGAAUGGUAGAAUCGGACGCUGUGGACAUAUUAAUAAUUUGGUCAAACGACUUUGGAAUCAGCAGAACCAGUUGGAAUAUUUGAGGAUAAUGAAGGUGGAUUUACCACAACAUCUAGCCCGUUUUGGAACAGCGAGACGUUUGAUAUAUUUAGAUGAGGUGCUAGUAGCCGCAAGGAGAAAUUGUAGGUGAAAGUGGAAAUGAGGAGAGGAACCAAAUAGCAAAUAUGCUUUUAUAACAAAUAAAAUAUGUUUUUGAAUUAUUGCCCUUUUUUUUUGUAAUUCACAUAAUUUUAUUUCUUUCUUCCUGGAUUUUCUUGCUUCUUUCAAUGGCGUUUCGUAAGAGGUUAAUUUCUUGUACUCGAGCCUCCUCGAUAUUUGUCCGCCUUCUUCGUAGAUAAAACAUUGCAUGCUUUGACUACCUAGUCUUGGCACUUCUAAAAUGUUAUAAGCGUUUAAUUUUAUAAAUUAUACCAAUAAAAAAAAUUGUCGGAGUGGUUAAGUAAGAGGUGUUGUUGAUAGCGGGUGGAUCUUUCUUAUCUUCGUCUUUCAAUAUCAAAUUCUGACAUUACCGAUCGUUUCGCUAUCGCUCUUCCUCUUAUAUAAAGACCAGUGUAAAUUUAAUACCAAUUCCACCAAUAUAUAACAUAAAACUUUUACUAACCAAAACGAAACAAUUACAACGUUGUUCACCGUGUUUUUUCUUCUUCUGUCUAACAUAUUCGGCAGGUAUAAGUGAGCGUUACCAAAAUCAUUUUUCGAACCAGUAAAUACGAACCUGACCACGUAGGGCGUGUAAUGCCACGACAUCGAUGAUUUGUGACGUCACCGCGUUACCCGUCCGUCUCGGCGACCUUCGUUGCUCCCCAAAUUAUAUUUUUUGAUAUUUUGUCGGCGUUCGGGUAUAAUGCGUGCGCUACCUAACCGCCGUGACGAAAAACGUAUCCCGUCAGCAAGUAGAGCAAAACGGAAAACUGUAAUUCGUCUAGAUUUGAUAAUAAUAAUAUAUAACUUAUUCUCACGCAUGCACAAGCACAUUCAGCCUUUAAAGAAGAAAAGGAAAUACACGUUGAUAAGUAAAGCCGAUUCUCAAGAAUGUACAAUAAUAUAACAAUAGCAAUUAAAAUGAAAUCAUCAACAAUUUUGUAUUUAUUUAUUUAUAUUAAAUUAUUGUUGAAAUCAACUAGAACUAGAACAGCGCUUUCUAUUCUAUAGUUUUGGUUAGUUAUGAAUCUUACGUCAACUUUUGUGUUAUUAGUAUUAUUAAGUGCUCUUCUGCAAAGUUUUGGUCUUUUUAAUAUACUUGUGGCGAAAACAAUGGGAUUUUCUUGAACGCUCUGAUCUUAAUAGAUAGGGUGUUAAAGAUAUUUUUUUAUCAUUGACAUUUGUUAAUAUCUUCAAAUACACUGGAGAUUUUUGGCAAAAAGGUCAAAUAAGUGGUGACCCUGUAUAGUAAAAGAUACUGCGUACUUUAAAUUUAAUAAAAACAUAAGUUAGAAUUAACUUUAUAAAGUAUAACCCUAUAUAUUUUACUUUUUUAGAA